rnacentral:rRNA from 1 species
GUCCACGCCCUAAACGAUGUCUACUAGUUGUUGGGGGAGUUAAAUCCCUUAGUAACGCAGCUAACGCGCGAAGUAGACCGCCUGGGGAGUACGGUCGCAAGAUUAAAACUCAAAGGAAUUGACGGGGGCCCGCACAAGCGGUGGAUGAUGUGGUUUAAUUCGACGCAACGCGAAAAACCUUACCUACCCUUGACAUGUGAGGAACCCUGCAGAGAUGCAGGGGUGCCCGAAAGGGAACCUCAACACAGGUGCUGCAUGGCUGUCGU